GGUAGAUUCCUAAUUGCUGCUCCAUUUAUUGAAAAAUAGAUCUUUCCCCAAAGAUCUGAAAUUCCAGCUCUGUGAUAAAGCACAUUCCACUGACUAUGGGGCUUGGUGAAAGCUACCGUGUUCGCUACUGGGCGUUGUUAGAGAGUGAAUGCUUAACUGUGGAACACCAUGCAGUUGCCCAUGCAGCGUAGAUGUGGUCAGCAACUUGAUUGGG